AGUGAACGCUGGCGGCAGGCCUAACACAUGCAAGUCGAACGGCAGCACGGCAGUAGCAAUACUGUGGGUGGCGAGUGGCGGACGGGUGAGGAAUACAUCGGGAUCUACCCUGUUGUGGGGGAUAACGUAGGGAAACUUACGCUAAUACCGCAUAAGAACUGAGGUUGAAAGCGGCGGACCGCAAGGCGUCGCGCGAUUGGAUGAACCGAUGUCCGAUUAGCUAGUUGGCGGGUAAAGGCCCACCAAGGCGACGAUCGGUAGCUGGUCUGAGAGGACGACCAGCCACACUGGAACUGAGACACGGUCCAGACUCCUACGGGAGGCAGCAGUGGGGAAUAUUGGACAAUGGGCGCAAGCCUGAUCCAGCCAUGCCGCGUGGGUG
rnacentral:rRNA from 1 species